GGGGCCGUAGCUCAGUCUGGUCAGAGCGCUCGGUUGAAACCCGAGAGGUUCGUUGGUUCGAUUCCAACCGGUCCCAC
rnacentral:tRNA from 2 species